UUCCAGGCCUGGAAACUGGAUGAUUUGGAGUUGACAAAGAAAUGAAACAACAAAAAUCCACACAUUACCAAGUACCAGACUAGGAAAGCACUGUUGUGUGUGCAAGACUGAGGCCAAUCACCCAGCCAAAUUCUCCACCCACACUGAAAAAAGAGGUGCCGCUAACUGCGCUAAUCCCUUGGCAGGGAAAGAGGUGCGAUGACGGCGAGCAGCGGCAACUAAACAGAAACGCUCUCCGAUGGACAGCUGACAUCCCCUUCUCCUGGCAGCUCAUGGGAAACUUCUGCACAGCCCACCUUUUUGUCCAUUCUACAUGGACUCCACCCCGCCCACCAUCACUUCCUCAAUUCAGUCUUUCACUCAUCCUCAGGAAUGGCCACUAGAAGCCACUAUGCAGUGGCCCUGCCUGAUAGGACUGCAAGGGGCGGGGGAUGGGGAGGCCCAGGUUCCAUAAAGUACCUGGGUGUUUUCCGGCAAAGGUCCAGAGCUGUCCAGGCAUCUCACUAAAUGGACACAAUAAGGAGGUGUCCAAGGCUCAGUUUAGCUGGGACUGUGGCUGUAGGGGAAACAGGCUUUGUGGCACCUCUCCUUUGCUCUACACCUAGGGUUGCCUUAGGGGGGAGAGAGAGACUGGAGGCUGUCCUGGCAGAAGGGAUAUACACAAAGAAUAGCAGGAAUGCCAAUUUGUUCUGCACCUUGCAGACAGUAACCUUCUGGUAUCUCUAUGAGACAUUCAUUGCCCGCCUGGUGACCCUGACCAGAGGGAAACUGUACUACAAAGCAUCACAAGGGACUUGCAAUAUGACUUGUUGGCUCACUGGAAACUCAGGUGUUCCUGCAGUGGAUAAGCCUCAUUCAACACUCAGAUACUCGCCAUCAAACAUUGCUCGGGAUCCAAAAAAUAUUAUACCAUAGGACUGCCUGCAGUCUGAAAAUCUCAAUAGGACACUAAUACCUGCCCAGUAGAAUUGCCAAAAUUAAUAAGACUGAAAAUUUCAAGUUUUGGUGUAGAUAUGGAGUGAUGGAGACUCUUACAUGCUGCUGGCAAGAGUAAAAUUGGUACAACCAUUUUGGAAGAAAAUUACUUGUAGUUUGUUGAAUAUAAGUAUAACCAGUGACCUAGCAAUUUCUUUUCUAGACAUAUACUUAACAGAAAUUUAUGCAUAUAUGGGUUAAAGGACAUAUUCAAGAAUAUUUAUGAGCAGCAGUAGUAUUAUAAUGAUCUAACACUGGUAAUAAUCCAAACAACCAUCAAUAAUAAAAUAUAAUAAACUACAGAAUAUUCACAUAACAAAAUACUAUACAGCAGUAAAAACAAAAGUGAGCAGGGCUGGCGCUGUGGCACAGCAGGUAAAGCUGUCGCCUGCAGUUCUGGCAUCCCAUAUGGGUGCCGGUUCGAGUCUCGACAGCUCCAGUGAGAAAGAGAGACAGAAAGAAAGGUCUUCCUUCCAUUGGUUCACCCCACAAAUGGCGGGUGCAGGGCCCAAGCACUUGGGCCAUCCUCCACUGCCUUCCGGGGCCACAGCAGAGAGCUGGACUGGAAGAGGAGCAACUGGGACAGAAUCCUGCACCCCAGCUGGGACUAGAACCCGGAGUACCGGCGCUACAGGUGGAGGAUUAGCCUAGUGAGCCACAGCGCCGGCCGGCAGCUCCACUUCUGAACCAGCUCUUUGAGUAGAAGAUGGCCCAAGUCCUUAGUCCCCUGCACCUGCAUGGGAGACUCAGAAGACGCUCCUGGCUCCUGGCUUCGGAUAGGUGCAACUCCAGCCAUUGCAGCCAUCUGGGGAGUGAACCAGUGGAUGGAAGACCUCUCUCUCUCUCUCUCUCUCUUUCUGUCUUUGUUUCUUAUAACUCUGCCUUUCAAAUAAGUAAAAUAAAUCUUUAAAAGAAAAAAAAAUGAAUGAGCUAUGGCACUAGGCAACAACUUGGAUGCAUCUCACAAAAAUAUACCAUCAAACUAAAGAAGUCAGACACCAAAGAUACAGACCAUGCAAUUUAAUUUACUCAAAACUCUAAAACAGGCCAAAAUGAAUCAGGUGUUAGAAGUCACAGUGUGGUUACCACUGGAGGAGAAAGAGGGGUUGUUGGUGGUUUAGAAACUGGUAAAGUUCACACUUCUGGUGGAUGGCUUAGCUACAUGGGUGGUUUGACGGCAACUCACUAACACUGAGAAGUUCCAUGCUUAUAUAUAUGUAUUUAUAUUUUAAUAAAAACAGGUUUUUGUUUUACUUAAAACAAAAAUGCAUCGGUGGAGGAAAAGAGUCAGCUCAACUGUUGGCUGCAGGAGCCAUUCCUUUGUCUGAGGCACUUGGGCCCUGGGUGCGUGGAGACAGGCCAAACCUUCAUUCCGGCUCUCCAACACACUAUAUAUAGGUUUACUUAUCUAUGCUCUGUCUGGCAAGAGAUUUAAAUGAGUGUGGUUUCUUAUGACUCUCAGGCAUACUUCAGAGGUGUUCAAUAAGUGUUGGCUGAUGAGCUUCCUCUGAGCUUUGUAAAUACAGAAUUCACUCUUGGCAUGCUGUUUAUUUUAUCAGCAGUACCUAGGUGCUGUUAGGCACAUGGACUCAUAUUUAUUUAUAUAAAAGUCUACAUAUAUUCUGUAUUCAUUUAGAAAAAUGAAGCACAGAUGUAUCUGGGUGGCUGGCAACUGAACCACAUUUUUUGAGCACCAAAUAAGAAUCUGAAAUUAUAUUCAUCUAGAGGUGACCCUUCCCUGAAAAGAUUAAUUUUGUUAAUUAACUUACCCCAAAUAGCAAAUUUAAUUUGAUUUUGUUAGAAAUGACAUUAAAUAUAGGCUAUGUAAAUCCACCUAUUUAACCCUAAUAUUCCUCCUUUCCCUCUAACCUUCAAAUUGUGUUACCACCCAGGUCCUUUCUUUUAUCUUUUCCUUUUUCUUUUUAAUAUUUUUUUUAUUUAUUUGAAAGGUGGAGUUACAGA